rnacentral:rRNA from 1 species
AUUGAACGCUGGCGGCAGGCCUAACACAUGCAAGUCGGGCGGCAGCACAGGUGCUUGUACCGGGUGGCGAGCGGCGGACGGGUGAGUAAUGCCUAGGAAUCUGCCUGGUAGUGGGGGAUCACGCUCGGAAACGGACGCUAAUACCGCAUACGUCCUACGGGAGAAAGCAGGGGACCUUCGGGCCUUGCGCUAUCAGAUGAGCCUGGGUCGGAUUAGCUAGUUGGUGAGGUAAAGGCUCACAAAGGCGACGAUCCGUAACUGGUCUGGGAGGAUGAUCAGUCACACUGGAACUGAGACACGGUCCAGACUCCUACGGGAGGCAGCAGUGGGGAAUAUUGGACAAUGGGCGAAAGCCUGAUCCAGCCAUGCCGCGUGUGUGAAGAAGGUCUUCGGAUUGUAAAGCACUUUAAGUUGGGAGGAAGGGUCGUUACCUAAUACGUGACGAUUUUGACGUUACCGACAGAAUAAGCACCGGCUAACUCUGUGCCAGCCGCCGCGGUAACAC